rnacentral:rRNA from 1 species
AGCGAACGCUGGCGGCAGGCUUAACACAUGCAAGUCGAGCAGGCACUUUCGGGUGUCAGCGGCGGACGGGUGAGUAACGCGUGGGAACGUGCCCUCUGGUUCGGAAUAACUCAGGGAAACUUGAGCUAAUACCGGAUACGCCCUUUUGGGGAAAGGCUUGCUGCCGGAGGAUCGGCCCGCGUCUGAUUAGCUAGUUGGUGAGGUAACGGCUCACCAAGGCGACGAUCAGUAGCUGGUCUGAGAGGAUGAUCAGCCACACUGGGACUGAGACACGGCCCAGACUCCUACGGGAGGCAGCAGUGGGGAAUAUUGGACAAUGGGCGCAAGCCUGAUCCAGCCAUGCCGCGUGAGUGAUGAAGGCCUUAGGGUUGUAAAGCUCUUUUAUCCGGGACGAUAAUGACGGUACCGGAGGAAUAAGCCCCGGCUAACUUCGUG